CCUACGGGAGGCAGCAGUGAGGAAUAUUGGUCAAUGGACGAGAGUCUGAACCAGCCAAGUAGCGUGAAGGAUGACUGCCCUAUGGGUUGUAAACUUCUUUUAUAUGGGAAUAAAGUGUUCCACGUGUGGGUUUUUGUAUGUACCAUAUGAAUAAGGAUCGGCUAACUCCGUGCCAGCAGCCGCGGUAAUACGGAGGAUCCGAGCGUUAUCCGGAUUUAUUGGGUUUAAAGGGAGCGUAGAUGGAUUGUUAAGUCAGUUGUGAAAGUUUGCGGCUCAACCGUAAAAUUGCAGUUGAAACUGGCAGUCUUGAGUACAGUAGAGGUGGGCGGAAUUCGUGGUGUAGCGGUGAAAUGCUUAGAUAUCACGAAGAACUCCGAUUGCGAAGGCAGCUCACUGGACUGCAACUGACACUGAGGCUCGAAAGUGUGGGUAUCAAACAGGAUUAGAUACCCUUGUAGUC
rnacentral:rRNA from 1 species